rnacentral:lncRNA from 1 species
AUGUCCCAGUUCUCGCACUCCCUUCAUUGGGAGCUGCCUGGCAGCUCCAUAGGGCAGGGCUGGUUUUUUAUAACCUUCUACACAACCCCCAGCUGGGAGAUGGGUAUGUGCUGGGUGGUCUUUGGGGUCCUGGGGAGUUUCAGUUCCAGAGAAGUCCUCAGGGCCCCUUCCAACAGGGGAGAAGGAGUUCCAGGUGGGUCUUGGCCCUGGGGCCUCUGGGCAGGAUCUGAGGAGGGGCUGGGAGAAUGGCGGGGCCGGCAAAGCCCCCGGAAUCCUUGCCUCAGUCCCCUCCCUCCCUGGUUCUGGCGGCUCUCUGCCGCCAAAUUUGCUGUGGGAUUUUGUGCAAAGAACCUCUCCUCUCUGGGCCUCAGUUUCCCCACCCGUCAUACGGGAAGCCUGGUCCUGUUCCCCUGGAGUGAUGUGGGCACAGUUGGAGGUGUUGCAGGAAUGAAAAACCCUCCGCAAACUGUAAAGGGCUGUAGGGAGCGCAGGCACGGCCACCUGGGCAUGCAGGGUUGGGGACGCCAGUCUUGCUCUGGCUUCCCAACGGGGCUCGGCUGGGUCCAGUCGCCCCUCCCUCCCUGGCGCGCUCUCCCUCCCUCCCGGCUCCCUCCCUGCCAACGCGGAGCGCUGGCUCCCGGCAUGCCGCGCGCUGCUGACAGCCUUAUAAAUAGUGGCCUUGGCCACGGCGGCGAGCACGGCAGGGCGCGCGCUGGCCCCGGUGCCCACCGCACCCUCCGCAGGUCAGUGUGCGCCCGCGGGGCUGGGCGCGCGGCGGGGCGCCCUGCGGGGAGCGGGGAGCCGCGCUCGCCAGGGGGCCGAGCAUUUGUGUGUCGGGGUCUCCGUGGGGUUCGUGUGGCUGUGUUUGUCUCCGUGAUUGUGAUCUGGAUGCAUUUGCCUGUCUGUAUUCCCCAGGCUGUGCUCUGGGCAUUUGGGCCACAGUUGGUGUCCCUUUGUGGAUGUGCGUUUGUAGAUGUGUGUUGCAGUCCCUCCCAGCCUCCGACAGGGUCACCCCUUUGUCCCGGCUGGUACUCCUAG